ensembl:lncRNA
CUGAUACAUCAAGUGAAAGUGAUUCUAUAAACUUCCCUAAAUGUCUUCAUCAACCAUGUGAAUUACCUGUUUCUGGAGGUUGAUUUCUACUUUUUUAGUUUUCUUACUCAUGUGGUCGGUUUUUCAGUUUUGAUCUCAUUCUAAAAUAGAUACAUGGUAACUGGUCAGAUAUAUUUUUAUAUAGCACAGGAUUCUUGACAGACAUGUCAAACUGAACUGAUAUUUUGCCCAUUUUAAGUGCCUACAGACAUAGUGAAAUGGCCCUGUUCAUCUUCAUAAUAUUUUAUCUUUUACUGGUGGUUAAAUUGCAAGGUUUGGCCACCAUGUCGUCUUUGCCACCAAUCACAGAGGGCAGCCCAACAGUGAUUCCCAAUGGAACCUUACAAGUGAAUUUGUCCACUGCAUCAACAAUGAACACAACAUUUUUGGGUGUAACAUCCACUACUGAGUCUGAAAUCACAACAGACCUGAUAACCAAUAUGUCAAGUCUAAGUUCCCAAGACAACCAUAGUUUAAAAGAUCCUGCAAACGCAUCCUUAGAAUCGACUACACUUACUGAUAAUACAGAACGUGCUUCAGUUUUCCCCUUGAUGACUAAAGGCCCUGAAAUCAGAAAGUACUCAAAUACAAAAAUGUUCUUCCUCAUUGCUGUGGUUGCAUCUGGUGGAGGAAUUGUACUGACUGGACUCGUGGGCACCUGUUUGUACAGACGUACACGAAAGUCAAAGGCAGAGAGGAUUUGGAUCGAAUCGAGCAGCAAAAAACACAAACAGGGACAUUCUUUACCAGUGGCCAGUUCAGACUCAUCUGGAGAGGAAGAUACAGUGCUUUACUCAACCAUCAACUUCAUUCAACCCCCCUCUCAACCACCAGGAAACAAUGAAGAAUCAAUUCAAAAUGAGGUUGAACUGAAUCAUUUGUAUUACACCGUCAUAACCAAACCGGCAAUCUCCAGUGACAGCAGGAGUGUUUACAGUCAGCUGAAGGUCCGCUGAAAGAAUACAACUCUGCGUGCUGCUGUUUUAAUGCAGGCCAAAAUUGAUGCAUCUUAAUUUUAAACAUGCUUUAAUCCUCCAUAGCAAUGCCUUUUAUUGUAAAUGUUAAACUUCUGCUUUCUAAUUUCAAUGUUGUAACACCUUUCAAAACUGUGUCAUAAACUUUCUUUCUGAUUUCGGUUUACUUGUAUUUUCUGUAGAUUCACAUGAACAGAAUAACCACAUCAGAAGGCACAGCAUGAAUAUGCAUACUUUUAAGCAAUAAUAAUUGUUAUUGUGAAUGGCAGUUGUAUAGAUCAACAUAAGGACAGUCAUAUUUCCUCCUGUUACUUGUGUGAAUAUUUUCACCUGAUGUUUAUUAUUUAAAGCACCUCAUUUUUAUGUUUCUCUUUUUGUUCCUUUUGUACUUUUCCGCUGUUCCUCAAAGUUAUGUCUAAAAUCUCUUUGAAGACUGGAGUAAUGGCUGCUGAAAAUCCCACUUUGUCAUCACAGGAAUAAAAUAUAUUCAAAUAGAAAACUGUUAUUUUGAAUUGGUAUAAUAUAUUCACAGUGUUACUGUUUUUACUGUAUUUGUGAUCAAAUAAAUGCAGCUUUAGUAAACAAGAGAGACUUCUCUCAAAAACAUUUAAAAAAUGUUACCAAGCCCAAUCGUUUGAAUGGUGUACAUGAAGAAGUUUUUUUUUUUUUUUUUAAUGAAAACCAGACACCGGAGAAACCUACAGCAAUACAGGUAUCCGAUUACUGUGAAUAUGCGUCAGAUGACAGCACACUCUCCUGUCUAAAACAUGGACUUACAGUUAUAUAUGUGACAUGAUGGCAGUCUUCUCAUUAACACAAGUUGUACCACUACUCUUUGCAUUAUGGUAUGGUACACUGAGUUAUGCUGCUCAUCCUCCUCAUCUUUACACUCUUUCUGGAGGUUCAACCUCAGUAAGUGACAACUUAAAUUAAAAAAAAUAAAAUGUUAUAUUUCAUAUUAAGUCUCUGUUCUCCUCUGCUCUAGGAUAGUAUGUCACAGUUGCUGAUUUUAGGUACUACCAAUAUGGUCACACUUUAUAACAAGUAUAAAGUAAUUACUGUAAGUACUAACAAGUCAUUUGUAAACUAUUAGUUUAUAGUUAAUUAAGAGUUUAUAAACUGUAUUUAAUACAUUAAUAGACGCU